rnacentral:rRNA from 1 species
UACAGAGGGUGCAAGCGUUGUUCGGAAUUAUUGGGCGUAAAGGGCGCGUAGGCGGUGCUGUAAGUCUGUAGUGAAAAUCUCUGGGGCUCAAACUCAGAGUCUGCUAUAGAAAACUGCAGUGCUGGAGUGUGGGGAGAGGUGAGUGGAAAUUUCCCCGGUGUAGCGGUGAAAAUGCGUAGAUAUCGGGGAGGAACACCUGUGGCGAAAAGCGGCUCACUGGACCACAACUGACGCUGAUGCGCGAAAAGCUAGGGGGAGCAAACAGG